CGCCAAAUGAUAUUGUUCAUGAGCUUGCUCCGGACUUUGAUAUAUCUUCUCUUGGACAAUUAUCCCCAGAGAUGUUGGAAGGCCAACAGAACUGCUGUAUCAUGUAAAAGAUGCCCUGUCCCAAUAUUCUUCUGCUAGUUCAUUAAUUUUCUUUUGUUACAAUUUGCAUAGAACAACAUUUAUUUUUUGCUUGGAUUUUACUUGUAAUGUUAUUGCUCAUUUCAUCUCCUAGAUAUAUGCCAUAUAUUUUUUCU